UGAUGAUGAUAAUAAUGAUGGUUAUGGUGAUGGUGAUGGUGGUGACGAUGGUGGUCGCGGCAAACUUCUUUUUUUCCACAACGAAAAAGUCGUUUUCCUUAGCUUAAAGAUGAAAAAAAUUUGAAAGUUUACCAGUCUCGCUUCAUCAUCAUCCUCAUCAUCAUCAUUUUCUCUU
rnacentral:pre_miRNA from 1 species